rnacentral:rRNA from 1 species
CUCACCAGGUCAGGACACGGUAAGGAUUGACGGACUGAAGGCUCUUUCUCGAUUCCGUGGAAAGUGGUGCAUGGCCGUUUUUGGUUGGUGGAUCGAUCCGUCUGGUUAAUUCCGUUAACGAACGAGACCUCGGCACUCCGAAUAGCGCGGCGGACGUCGCGGCCUCCGGGCCGUCUUCCGCACUAGCUUCUUAGAGGGACCGUCCCCCGCCGGGGAAGGAGGUGCGAGGCAACGACAGGUCUGUGAUGCCCUUAGAUGUUCUGGGCCGCACGCGCAUUACACUGACGCGUCCAACGGGUGACUCCCGACCCGAAGGGGCCGGGGAAUCCGCAAGGCGCGUCGUGAUGGGGAUUGAACGUUGCAAUUGUUGUUCACGAACGAGGAAUUCCUAGUAGGCGCGGGUCAUCAACCCGCGCCGAUUACGUCCCUGCCCUUUGUACACACCG